rnacentral:rRNA from 1 species
AAUCUUGCACAGUGGGGGAAACCCUGAUGCAGCGACCCCUCUUGAGUGAUGAAGGUUCUCUGAUCGUAAAGCUCUGUCCUUGGGGAAGUUAAUGACGGUACCCAAGGAGGAAGCCCCGGCUACCUACGUGCCAGCAGCCGCGGUAAUACGUAGGGGGCCAGCGUUAUCCGGAUUUAUUGGUCGUAAAGGGUACGUAGGCGGCCAGAUAAGUCAGGUGUGAAAGGCAGCGGCUCAACCGAUGUAAGCACUUGAAGCUGUCUGGCUUGAGUACAGGAGAGGAAAGUGGAAUUCCUAGUGUAGCGGUGAAAUGCGUAGAUAUUAGGAGGAACACCAGUGGCGAAGGCGACUUGCUGGACUGAAACUGACGCUGAGGUACGAAAGCGUGGGGAGCAAACA